rnacentral:lncRNA from 1 species
GUACGAUGGGGAGUCCCUUGGUCAGGACCUGGCAAAGACACGGGAGAGAGAAGCCCGUCUCUCCUUACAGUGCUGCUGGUGUUCCUGCUUGUGCAAAGCAAGCAGGAAGCCACCAGAGCUGUCACGGCUCCUGUUCCUGCCCAGGUAGUUGUUGGCAGCAAGAGUGAUGGCUACAAGUUCCUCCAGGCUCCAAGGAGGAGCUCAUAACUCAUCAGUGGCCCGACAUCCGUAUGUGCUUAUCUCCGGGCAAAGCACUCGCAGCAAGCAUUGCAGCGUGUGAUUCUUGGUGGAUUUUAAAAUGCAUCCGGGCUUUGGAGCUGACCUGGGAGGCGAGUUACUGCCUGCUUGGCCACGUGUUGGCAGGACCCUCUCUGACCUGCAGAAGACCCACUUGUGGCAGUGGCAGCAGUCCCUUUUCCUCACUGUGGUCUGUAGAAAUGCCUCAGUCCGGAUACCUGCUACCAUGCAGCUGGAAAUACUGUGGCAUGGAGAGAAAAGUGGAAGUGGAAAGGAGAUCAGAAAGGCUGGUUGCACACAACCUGACUGAACAGGAACCCAAAGUCUGCUGUCAGUGGCUUUGCUGAGAUCACAGGAGUAAUGGAAGACAAAAAUCAAACUACAUCCUGGCUGCACAGUGCUGGCUACUCGAGGAAAUGCAAGCAUCAGGCUGGAAUCGGAAGUGGCACAAGAGGUAAGUCAGGGCAUGUACCUGUGUCUGAAUGUAACUGUUCUGAAUUCAGUGAUCAGAA